AGUCAGAGUUUGAUCCUGGCUCAGGACGAACGCUGGCGGCGUGCCUAAUACAUGCAAGUCGAGCGAGCUGAACCAGCAGAUUCACUUCGGUGAUGACGCUGGGAACGCGAGCGGCGGAUGGGUGAGUAACACGUGGGUAACCUGCCCUAAAGUCUGGGAUACCACUUGGAAACAGGUGCUAAUACCGGAUAACAACAAUAGCUGCAUGGCUAUUGCUUAAAAGGCGGCGAAAGCUGUCGCUAAAGGAUGGACCCGCGGUGCAUUAGCUAGUUGGUAAGGUAAUGGCUUACCAAGGCGACGAUGCAUAGCCGAGUUGAGAGACUGAUCGGCCACAUUGGGACUGAGACACGGCCCAAACUCCUACGGGAGGCAGCAUGCU
rnacentral:ncRNA from 1 species